UGCAUGAGUCAUCACAGUCAUCCGUUAUCUUACGUUAUUGGACGUGGGAACACUAAGAGACACUCCCAGAAGACUCUCCUCCUGGGUUUGCUAUGUGGUCCUUGCAGCGACCCUUUUCCCCUCGAUCGUCAGGAGCGCUCAGCCGGCAGGUCUUUGUGUCACAUGCUAUCACCAACAGAGACUCCAGGUCCUGGUUAGGAGCUACUGUUAUAGUUCUUGCCUUUGAAGUGGCUGGAUCAAGACAUCGAUGACAUGCAAACUAUAUUUUCGGAAACAAAACCUGGAAGCAUGGAUCACGUGAUAGGCAGAAUGGCUGUUCCACAGGAUUCUGACCGCUUGGGCACCAGCCUUAAUGAGCAAGGUGAAAGUCCUGCCUGUCGGUACACAUCUGGAGGAAUGGGUUCGGACGUGCGGUUGGGGGCACCUCUGAGGGUUAAGAGAUGCAUACGCAGAAUUCCUGUCAGAGUUGAUGGGACCAGGGGUGUUUAAAUGGGAGAAGAGUUGACAGAGGAAGAACCCAACAAGUGUAUUUACCGAUUUUAGGGGCUGGCAUAUAAAAGAGGGAUUACAGAUUACCAGUGGGUGAUAGUUAAAGGGAACAGGUUGUAAGUCAGCUGAGGAACGCAUUUCCACAGACAGAAUGGGCUUGUAAGGGACUGAGCUCUUGGUCACUGCAAGAGUUCAAUAAGGACUGUCGACAAUGAAAGGAAGGAUGGGCCCGAAAGAAUAAAAUCUCCUUCAUUCGAUCUGACAGGUCUAGAAUUGCACACUCGCUGUGCAUGCAUAGUUUCUAGAUAAUGCUGUUGUUUUCUCUUUAGAUUUGAUACUUCUUAAAAGUAUUUGCUUCUGUAGAGAAAACUUUGAUACUCCUUAAAGUAUUUAUUUGCUUUUGUAAAGAGAGUGGCUUCAGGUAAUAGGAGAAAAUAAAUCACACAGCCAAAUACACCAAGUUAUUACACCUAUAAAAGGAAACCUUAACAUUUACACAUGAAAUAUCUUACCAUUUAUUAUAAUU